rnacentral:misc_RNA from 1 species
UGGUUCCAGCAUCGAUGAAGAACGCAGCGAACUGCGAUAAGUAAUGUGAAUUGCAGAAUUCAGUGAAUCAUCGAGUCUUUGAACGCACAUUGCGCCCCCUGGCAUUCCGGGGGGCAUGCCUGUUCGAGCGUCAUUACACCACUCAGGCCCCGCCUGGCGAUGGGCACCGGUCUCGCCAGACCGGCCCGAAAUCGAGCGGCGACCCUACCAAUCCCCGAGCGCAUUGGGUGAAAAACUCGCUCUGCGGGCUGCGGCGGUGGGUGCCGGCCAAAGACACACUCUGAGAUUGACCUCGGAUCAGGCAGGGAUACCCGCUGA